UACGUAGGGGGCAAGCGUUGUCCGGAAUCAUUGGGCAUAAAGCGCGUGUAGGCGGUUCGGUAAGUCUGCUGUGAAAGUCCAGGGCUCAACCCUGGGAUGCCGGUGGAUACUGUCGGACUAGAGUACGGAAGAGGCGAGUGGAAUUCCCGGUGUAGCGGUGAAAUGCGCAGAUAUCGGGAGGAACACCAAUUGCGAAGGCAGCUCGCUGGGACGUUACUGACGCUGAGACGCGAAAGCGUGGGGAGCAAACAGG
rnacentral:rRNA from 1 species